rnacentral:rRNA from 1 species
ACGCUCGACACCUACGGAGGAGCAGUGGGGAAUAUUGCACAAUGGAGGGAAACUCUGAUGCAGCGAUGCCGCGUGAGGGAAGAAGGUUUUCGGAUUGUAAACCUCUGUCUUUGGGGACGAUAAUGACGGUACCCAAGGAGGAAGCUCCGGCUAACUACGUGCCUGCAGCCGCGGUAAUCUGAGCGGGCUGGCAAGGC